GCGUUGGUGGAGCAACUGUUUGCACGCGCUCCCAGAAAGAGUGAGAUCUGGGUUUGAAUCCCGGCCAACGCA